rnacentral:misc_RNA from 1 species
UCUCCGUAGGUGAACCUGCGGAGGGAUCAUUACAGAGUUCAUGCCAUACCGGGUAGAUCUCCCACCCUAUGUUAUUAUUACUUUGUUGCUUUGGCGGGCCGUUAGGCUCCGGCCCGACUACCGGCCCCGGCUGGUAAGCGCCCGCCAGAGGACCCAAAACCCUGAAUAUUAGUGUCGUCUGAGUACUAUAUAAUAGUUAAAACUUUCAACAACGGAUCUCUAGGUUCUG